GAUGAACGCUGGCGGCGUGCCUAAUACAUGCAAGUCGAGCGAACGGACGAGAAGUUUGCUUCUCUGAUGUUAGCGGCGGACGGGUGAGUAACACGUGGAUAACCUACCUAUAAGACUGGGAUAACUUCGGGAAACCGGAGCUAAUACCGGAUAAUAUUUUGAACCGCAUGGUUCAAAAGUGAAAGACGGUCUUGCUGUCACUUAUAGAUGGAUCCGCGCUGCAUUAGCUAGUUGGUAAGGUAACGGCUUACCAAGGCAACGAUGCAUAGCCGACCUGAGAGGGUGAUCGGCCACACUGGAACUGAGACACGGUCCAGACUCCUACGGGAGGCAGCAGUAGGGAAUCUUCCGCAAUGGGCGAAAGCCUGACGGAGCAACGCCGCGUGAGUGAUGAAGGUCUUCGGAUCGUAAAACUCUGUUAUUAGGGAAGAACAUAUGUGUAAGUAACUGUGCACAUCUUGACGGUACCUAAUCAGAAAGCCACGGCUAACUACGUGCCAGCAGCCGCGGUAAUACGUAGGUGGCAAGCGUUAUCCGGAAUUAUUGGGCGUAAAGCGCGCGUAGGCGGUUUUUUAAGUCUGAUGUGAAAGCCCACGGCUCAACCGUGGAGGGUCAUUGGAAACUGGAAAACUUGAGUGCAGAAGAGGAAAGUGGAAUUCCAUGUGUAGCGGUGAAAUGCGCAGAGAUAUGGAGGAACACCAGUGGCGAAGGCGACUUUCUGGUCUGUAACUGACGCUGAUGUGCGAAAGCGUGGGGAUCAAACAGGAUUAGAUACCCUGGUAGUCCACGCCGUAAACGAUGAGUGCUAAGUGUUAGGGGGUUUCCGCCCCUUAGUGCUGCAGCUAACGCAUUAAGCACUCCGCCUGGGGAGUACGACCGCAAGGUUGAAACUCAAAGGAAUUGACGGGGACCCGCACAAGCGGUGGAGCAUGUGGUUUAAUUCGAAGCAACGCGAAGAACCUUACCAAAUCUUGACAUCCUUUGACAACUCUAGAGAUAGAGCCUUCCCCUUCGGGGGGGCAAAGUGACAGGUGGUGCAUGGUUGUCGUCAGCUCGUGUCGUGAGAUGUUGGGUUAAGUCCCGCAACGAGCGCAACCCUUAAGCUUAGUUGCCAUCAUUAAGUUGGGCACUCUAAGUUGACUGCCGGUGACAAACCGGAGGAAGGUGGGGAUGACGUCAAAUCAUCAUGCCCCUUAUGAUUUGGGCUACACACGUGCUACAAUGGACAAUACAAAGGGCAGCGAAACCGCGAGGUCAAGCAAAUCCCAUAAAGUUGUUCUCAGUUCGGAUUGUAGUCUGCAACUCGACUACAUGAAGCUGGAAUCGCUAGUAAUCGUAAAUCAGCAUGCUACGGUGAAUACGUUCCCGGGUCU
rnacentral:rRNA from 1 species